CCUACGGGUGGCAGCAGUGAGGAAUAUUGGUCAAUGGACGGAAGUCUGAACCAGCCAUGCCGCGUGCAGGAAGACGGCUCUAUGAGUUGUAAACUGCUUUUGUACAAGGGUAAACCUGAAUACGUGUAUUCAGCUGAAAGUACUGUACGAAUAAGCUCCGGCUAACUACGUGCCAGCAGCCGCGGUAAUACGUAGGGAGCAAGCGUUAUCCGGAUUUAUUGGGUGUAAAGGGUGCGUAGACGGGAAGUCAAGUUGGUUGUGAAAUCCCUCGGCUUAACUGAGGAACUGCAACCAAAACUAACUUUCUUGAGUGCUGGAGAGGAAAGUGGAAUUCCUAGUGUAGCGGUGAAAUGCGUAGAUAUUAGGAGGAACACCAGUGGCGAAGGCGACUUUCUGGACAGUAACUGACGUUGAGGCACGAAAGUGUGGGGAGCAAACAGGAUUAGAUACCCGAGUAGUC
rnacentral:rRNA from 1 species